GACGAACGCUGGCGGCGUGCCUAAUACAUGCAAGUAGAACGCUGAAGGAGGAGCUUGCUUCUCUGGAUGAGUUGCGAACGGGUGAGUAACGCGUAGGUAACCUGCCUAGUAGCGGGGGAUAACUAUUGGAAACGAUAGCUAAUACCGCAUAAUAGUAGAUGUUGCAUGACAUUUGCUUAAAAGGUGCAAUUGCAUCACUACCAGAUGGACCUGCGUUGUAUUAGCUAGUUGGUGGGGUAACGGCUCACCAAGGCGACGAUACAUAGCCGACCUGAGAGGGUGAUCGGCCACACUGGGACUGAGACACGGCCCAGACUCCUACGGGAGGCAGCAGUAGGGAAUCUUCGGCAAUGGACGGAAGUCUGACCGAGCAACGCCGCGUGAGUGAAGAAGGUUUUCGGAUCGUAAAGCUCUGUUGUAAGAGAAGAACGAGUGUGAGAGUGGAAAGUUCACACUGUGACGGUAUCUUACCAGAAAGGGACGGCUAACUACGUG
rnacentral:rRNA from 1 species